rnacentral:rRNA from 1 species
GGGAGAUAUCUUCCGCAAUGGGCGAAAGUCUGACGGAGCAACGCCGCGUGAGCGAUGAAGGCCUUCGGGUCGUAAAGUUCUGUUGUUAGGGAAGAACAAGUGCUAGAUUAAUUGCUCGUACCUUGGCGGUACUUAACCAGAAAGCCACGGCUAACUUCUUGCCCGCCGCCCCGGUAAAUAAAAAAAAA